GUAGGUGGCAAGCGUUGUCCGGAAUUAUUGGGCGUAAAGCGCGCGCAGGCGGUUCUUUAAGUCUGAUGUGAAAGCCCACGGCUCAACCGUGGAGGGUCAUUGGAAACUGGAGAACUUGAGUACAGAAGAGGAAAGCGGAAUUCCACGUGUAGCGGUGAAAUGCGUAGAGAUGUGGAGGAACACCAGUGGCGAAGGCGGCUUUCUGGUCUGUAACUGACGCUGAGGCGCGAAAGCGUGGGGAGCAAACAGGAUUAGAUACCCUGGUAGUCCACGCCGUAAACGAUGAGUGCUAAGUGUUAGGGGGGUUUCCGCCCCCCUUAGUGCCUGCAGCUAACGCAUUAAGCACUCCGCCUGGGAUACGGCGCAAGGCUG
rnacentral:rRNA from 1 species